rnacentral:piRNA from 1 species
UUAAAAAGGAACUCUAUAGAGUUAGUUUUC